UCUACCUGCCACCUGGUAGUUUACAUGCAAAGGGGAAUAAAGGAAGCCAAAUGACUGUAAGUUUCUUGAAUAAUCCACACCAGAAAGCAUUGCCUACAGACUGUAACUGCCCACUAUUGACUCUGUUGCUUCAUGAUGAAUGCUGGAUGAAACAUCUUCAAAUUCUACCUGAUGUAUGUAUGAUGUCAACAUGACUUAAGGCCUUACGGGAUCAUCCCUAGCACUGUGAAACUGGAGGAAGAAGCAGCAUUCAAGUGAGCGAAUGUGUAUUUGGACUGAGCGAAGGGAAUAUUCUUCAAGAGAGAUUCAAAAGGCUCCUGAAGGAGAGGAGUCAUAAAGGAUAGCCAAGGCCUUAUCCAGGUGAGCAAUUUCUAUAAGGUGCAGCAAAACCCGGAGGCAUCAGAGAGCAGAACACAACUGCAGAACAGAGGACCCCAAGUGGCAGAGGCAAAGGCUUACAAAAGUUGUUCAUAUCAAAGGCACCCACCCACUGAUGUGCCAGGUCCAGAAUGCACUGCCUUGUCACUCCUGGAAG